AAAAUGAAGAUAAAUUCUUUGUAUUGAUCAAAAUUCCCCUCCUUACAUGAUUUUUGAAUGGCUUUUUAUAGCCAUCUUUUACAUGAUUUUCUAUUAUCUUUUUUCUAUUUUGUAGAUGAUGGUGGCAGACAAUGGAUAUCAAAAAUGGGAGGAAAAAUGGGGCAAGUGGGAAAGUGGCUAGGUGGCUAGAGUUUCUUGGUUUUUUUGGGGGUUAGGUUUUUUUUGGGGGGGGCUUAAUGGGCUUUUGAAUUGGGUUUAAUAUUUGGGUUUUGUAAUGGGUUUGGGUAGAUGUAAAUGGGUCAUGGGUUAAGGGUUUUAGUGGGUUUAGAGGUUUGGUUGGGUUUUGAUGUAAUUGGGCCCGGGCAAUUUGGGCUUCUACACGUGUGGAGCGGAUGUUUCUGGUUGGCUGAAGUAUAGACAUUUACGACCAUGGUCAAUAAGAAAUUUAUUUGCGGAUAUUGAAGAAGGAUUACGGCAUCUGGUGGAGAUAAAGUUUGUGGUCACAAAUAGUCAAAAGAAUGGUGUGGCUAAUUCAUUGGCAAACGUUGGAUUGUUCAGGAAUCACUUUUUUAAAGCUUAUUGGUAAUCUUUUGUUUCUUGGUGAUUUGUAUUAGUGCACUCUACUUGCUGUUAUAUUUCUUUGUAGGUUGUAGUACUAUUUUUUGUAGCUCUGUUGAUUAGACAUGAGUUGGAAAUUUUUAUUAUUCUAUUUUACUUAUAAUCAAUUGAUUGAGCUAAAAAAAAUAAUUAUUAUGACUUUCUCGCAUGGUAAACUCCUUCAGGUUGAUGUAAGUUUGUUAUAGUAAUGUUAUUUUAUAUCAAUUAAAUAAAUUUGUAAUUAUUUAUGGUC